GUGUAGGUCACUGAAGCUAGCAGUUCAGUCAUCAUGGAGUCCCAAGGUUUUAGGAAGGGUCUAAACAAGCUCGUCUUUACUGAAAGACUGGACAUAGACCUCAUCACCACAGAUUGGGCCCCAUCAGUAAGAAAAAUCAGGGAGGAAUUCCAAAAUAUCCACCACGAAUCAGAUCCGUGGCAUGUUUCAAAAGGUAAUUUGUUUUAUCAAACCAAUUUGUAUUGUGGCUGACACAAUUACCAUUGUCAAAUCAAGAUUAUAAACAUCACUUUUCUGUAAAUCUUUUGCUGACCUGUGCUAUAACUUCCGUACAUUAGGACAGCAGGUUGCACUGGGAAGGAGAGCCUUUAUAUUUGCUACACAUGCACUUGCAUUUCUUCAACCUAUUUCUGUGUUUCGUUGUGAUUGUACACAGGCCUUAAAAAGAAACUUGUAACACUCGCCAACAAAAGGGACAAAAGGGACCUGCAGGGCUGGCUUCAAUCGAUCCUCAAUCAUUUUAGUAGUAGUAGUAGUCUUUAUUUGUCCCUGUAGGGAAAUUGGGUUGCAGCAGGUCACACAAGGCUUUGGUUCGCUUGCUCAUCUUGCAAUGGGAGUGCAGAGGUAAUUUCCCUAAUUGACGGCAUGGAAGAUAUGCAUAGAUAACAUAAAAACACCAAAAUGCAGUCACAAGACAAUCCGAUAGUCUUACAAGUAAUCUUAAAAUAUAAUCUUUUCUGUAGGAACUGAAACGACGGUGGACCUCACUCCUACACCAUAUAUGUGGGGAGCAUACAUGGAAGCAAGACAGCAAAAUGUGGGCAUGCCCUCACCUUGCCCUAAGCCCAGAUAAGGAAAGGAAUAAGCAAUGGCUCCACCUUGAUUCCCAAGCGGACAAAAGGCUACUGUCAGUUGUCAAAGAUAAAAGACUUCUGAAAGACCUUGAGCAGAUGACUCACUUUAAACCUACUGGUUCUGUGGAGGUGUACCACAAUGUUAUGCUGAAGUAUUUGCCUAAACAACUGCAUUUCGGUUAGGAUACUAUGGUAGCCUGAACACAACUAGCCAUCCUGGACAACAAUUACUAUGUACGCAGAGAGCAGGCAGUGACUUCACAAGGGACUCCAAGAUUCAGUCUGUCAUUCACUAAACAGAGCAAGGAAUGGGUGGCAAAGAAAAUCUACGAGCUUACAAGUCAGUACUUCACCAACCACCUGGUGGAAUGUGUGUUGGAGAGAAGGGAGGAAAAUACCAGAGAAGACAUACCGCAAGUUCAGCAGCCUACAAACAUUGCCACCAAGCAAAGACCCCCAAGGAAGAAGUAAUAGGAAAGCAUCAAACAAGAUUCC